UGCGGACAGUGUCUGGUGGGUAGUUUGACUGGGGCGGUCUCCUCCUAAAGAGUAACGGAGGAGCACGAAGGUCAGCUAAUCACGGUCGGACAUCGUGAGGUUAGUGCAAUGGCAUAAGCUGGCUUGACUGCGAGAGUGACGGCUCGAGCAGGUGCGAAAGCAGGUCAUAGUGAUCCGGUGGUUCUGAAUGGAAGGGCCAUCGCUCAACGGAUAAAAGGUACUCCGGGGAUAACAGGCUGAUACCGCCCAAGAGUUCAUAUCGACGGCGGUGUUUGGCACCUCGAUGUCGGCUCAUCACAUCCUGGGGCUGAAGUAGGUCCCAAGGGUACGGCUGUUCGCCGUUUAAAGUGGUACGCGAGCUGGGUUUAGAACGUCGUGAGACAGUUCGGUCCCUAUCUGCCGUGGGCGCUGGAGAAUUGAGGGGGGUUGCUCCUAGUACGAGAGGACCGGAGUGAACGCACCACUGGUGUUCGGGUUGUCAUGCCAAUGGCAUUGCCCGGUAGCUAAGUGCGGAAAAGAUAAGUGCUGAAAGCAUCUAAGCACGAAACUUGCCCCGAGAUGAGUUCUCCCUGACUCCUUGAGAGUCCUGAAGGGACGUUGAAGACUACGACGUUGAUAGGCCGGGUGUGUAAGCGCAGCGAUGCGUUGAGCUAACCGGUACUAAUGACCCGUGAGGCUUAACCUU
rnacentral:rRNA from 1 species